AAUCUGCCUUGUUGUGGGGGAUAACGUAGGGAAACUUACGCUAAUACCGCAUACGAUCUAAGGAUGAAAGUGGGGGAUUCGCAAGAACCUCAUGCUCGUGGAGCGGCCGAUAUCUGAUUAGCUAGUUGGUAGGGUAAAAGCCCACCAAGGCGACGAUCCGUAGCUGGUCUGAGAGGAUGAUCAGCCACACUGGAACUGAGACACGGUCCAGACUCCUACGGGAGGCAGCAGUGGGGAAUAUUGGACAAUGGGCGCAAGCCUGAUCCAGCCAUGCCGCGUGUGU
rnacentral:rRNA from 1 species